rnacentral:rRNA from 1 species
CUGCGGUGGAUCACUCCGAUCGUGUGUUCGAUGAAGAUCGCAACCAACUGUGUGGAUUGAUGCGAACUGCAUACUGCUUUGAACAUCGACAUCUUGAACGCACAUUGAAUCGGA